UAAUUGGUUUUCAGAAAACAAUGAAAAGGCAUAGCUGGUACAAUGUCCUGCUUGAUGCAACUAGAGGAACAAAUUAUCAUCCUUUUAAGACAAGACAACAUAGAACACGAGUUCAAAAAGACCCGGAUUCAAGUCUCGUUCCCUCCACUAACUAGAUGUGAUGCGUUACUGAAUAGCAAACUCGCAAAACUUCAGUUAGUUUAGCUGAAAGAUAUACUCUGUAAAUUUCAAUGUUUAAAUAUGUUACACCAAAUGAAAACCUAAAAUAAGGAUCUUGAGCAUUUUCCUGCCCAGAUUUGUCAAAAGUGGCUUUUACAAAGGUUAAUUAUCAUUCGUAGCUAAUAUCAUCAGUGGUGAUAUAGGUAACAAAAUUGUUUUUCCUCUGUUCUUUAAUAGACCCAAAGAACUCUAGUAUGCACUGGUCUUGGCUUUAUUGAUUCUUACUUUACACAGGACAGGCCAUUAGGACCGUCAGCUCGAACAGAAAUAGGUUCCACAGAGGCAUGUGCAAUUGGGUGGUUCAUUUUAUGACUCACAUUCAAGGUCCUUGUACUUUCCUGUCCCGAGACUCUUCCUGGACACUACGUGUGUAAAUGUGAAGCCACCUGAAGAGGAAACGUAGACUGAUCUGCCCUGGGCAUUGCCUGGACCAGGAAGCACGCCUCCUAUUGGCAAAGCAGACCUCUUUAGUACAUGGAUUACUCUACCAGAUGCUCCAAACUGCUCCACAACCUAAGCUUCAUGCGAAGCCGGGGAGUUAGGCAGGAAGAGCAUCACUGUUCCAAGUCAGGAGAAAAAAACAGAUUCGGAAAUAGGAUUCCCAUGAUGCAACGCCGGGGCUGGGAAGGGAGCCCACAUGUGGCUCCAAAUGCAGACCUAUCCUGGUCCCUCUGUGCCACCACAUCGGUGUCAGUAACACAUUUUUAAAGGCAACAAGGCAAUGACACCAUUCCGUUCCUCCUCCAGCCUUCUUAUUCCAGUGAGAGACCUGUUCAUUACAGCGGCCCUCAAAUUCGCCCGCAACUCUCUUAGUAUUCUGGAGACAAAAGCAGUGUGUAAAAACUCAACCUGUCAUUCCUACAUUUUCUAGAACUGUGCGACUCUGGGACCCUGAGCAGGGAGGGUGCUAGGAAAGGGCUGACAUCAGGUAGAGCCACUAGGAAGCAGAGCGAAGGCCAUGUCAUUGCAGAUGCGGCUGAGAACUCAGAGGCAGCAAGGUGAGGGCAGUGUGCCAGCCCGUGUGGGCUACCUCAGUGUCACAGCUGACAAGCUGGGAGUGCUAGACGAGCUGCUCCCUUCCUGGGUUAGGUAGUGUUUGAUCUGGUAACCUCUAGGAGAAAGUCUCUUCUAGAGCUGCUGACCUGUGACCUUGGCAGUCUAGUGCUGAAUGGCUCACAUUACCAUUCUUCCUGCAGGUAGACUGCGGUGCAGAUGAAAGGAGAUGAUAUCUACACAGGGUCCUCCACGCCAGGCCCGCCAAGAUGUGGUCUGUAGAGCCCCUCCAACGAUGGGCUGUGUUACUACAAGCUUCUCCGUGGAACUAACAGGAUGAAGAUGGAGCCGAUGGCAGCCUCCACACAACCAGGGUGGCCUGUCCCUUUGCCUUAGGAAGACAUUGGAUGACAUGGACAUAUGCUACGCAAGGGCUGUUUGUCACUGGGAAAGGCACACGCUACGAACGUGUUUUAAGAAGAGCACAGCCACCAAGGGAAUCCUGUCUCCUUCAUCAGAACAUGGAAUUUUCCUUGGAACGCAUGUCACUGCGUGCUUUGAGGUAUCUUCCUUCUCUCUCUCUCUGUCAUGGGCACCAUCACUGUGUCUGCUCAGAGUAAUGCAUUUCAGAUCACACUGUGUAAGUGUGUCUCCAUGUACGUUGCAUAAAGGGGUCUGGACCCAUCCUGAUUCAAGUCCCCGUGUCCCCACUAAGAUAACCAUGAAACGAUACUAGGAAUGUCAAGAAGUGGCAUCUUCUAAAUUGAAAUAAGUCACCUCACCCUUUCAAACACUGUUAAGAAAUGGUCUUGGUCUGUACAACCCAUGACCUAGACUAUAGAGCCAGUACACACCCAUAGGGAAGACGGAUUUCCAGAAUGUUCUCCACCACACAGAGAUGGCUCCAUUCUGCUCCAUCAGCCCAGGAAUCUCUGCAGAAGAGGGAAGGACAAGACUCGGAGGCCGAGAGAGCGUGACUGAGACCUCAGGGGGGCUGCAUACCCAGCGGUAAGAUAGUCCACAAAGCUCCAGAGAGGUACCAGAAAUGCUAUUGUGUGCUUUGAAACAGUUCCUUGGAGAAAGAGAAUUGUUCUCACCAGCAGACAGCACCUCUCAGGACUGGACGGCCCCGGCUGCUCCCUCUGGGCAGGAACUCUCUCUUUCCCCUUCAUGGCCAAUUCUCAGGUGCCUUCUCCUUUUUAGCUCUGACCAGACACCAAGACCCAAGCGCAUAUUUUUAACCCCACUCCACCCCCUCUUCCAGGGCUCCAGAGUCUCCUGAGAGACACAAAGCUGCCUGUGUUAUCCCUUCCCUGGGAAGGCAGAACAGGGUGGCCCUGCAGGGUUCAUUAAAGAGACAGCUGCAUCCAGUUUCCUCAUUACUCUUCACGUAGAAACUGCAAAUUGCAUUUGCAAAUAUUUUCUUUAAAAUGAAAUUGUCGUUUCCGAGUUCCUUGCAAGCGCCCAGUGUCUGGGUAAAGUAAGUAGCAGUGAUGUAAAAACAGGGUGUCAGCCCUGCAUCCUUUACCGAGGUAGCAAGCCCCACCCUAGAAACCUGCGACAUGAGGAACAGUGCCAAUGUGGAGUGCUCAGGUGACAUGAAUCACUCUCCUACACUGGCCUGCUGGGGCAGAAUUAAUUGCAUAAAUGUUGGGCUCUCCUGGGUCCAAACCAGUGAUACUAGAUUUAAGUAAGCAGAUUUAACUAGAUUUAUGGUUUAACAAUCUAGUGAUACUAUUUAAGAGGCGGCAAUGAAAUGUGAGUUCAUUUCACCCUCCCAUUGGCCUCUCAUGGACCAAGUUGGUUUCCCCUAGAAAUCCUGAAAACAGGAACUAAACAGAAGGCACCCACUGUCCAGGUAUGAAACUCAGCAGGUCUGUGCCUCAGUCUCUCCCUCUGUAGAACUGAGAUAAUCUAAAGCCUCUUUUGUGGAAGCUUGCUAAUAAGAAACAAAUCAAUUCACAUAAAGUAUCCCAAAGGAUGUUCAGCAUACAGUUAGCACACUGCAAACACAGAUACAGAUAUCUAAAUGUAAAUCCAUUCCAAACUCACAUUCUGAGCCUGCAGCUACUUCAAAGCCUCCCUUUAAAAGGCUCAAUUGGAGUAAGAAGCUCUGAAUUCAACACUUGAACCCACAAGUCGAUUUUAACAUCAACCAAAGAGAGAAAACCUGAUUUUGCACCUCCCGGUGUGAUGCAGAAAGAAAAGCACGCCACCCCCCAGGAAGUGUUUCUACCACAAUAUUGGACCUGAACUUGAUCAAGCUCCUGGAUCUAACAGUCUGCAAGAGCAAAAUAAAAGGGACAGAAACUCAUCGCAAUGCAAGCAGCAAACUCCAGACUGUAAGAAAUUCAACAGGACAAACUCUUCUGCUUCUUCAACAAACAGAUUGCAAGCCAAAAAAAAACAGAGGGGUACUAUCCCAGAAUAAAGGAAAUGUACAAAGUCAUAUCCACAAAAUGCACUGUGUCGAACUCACUUGGGGAAAAAGAGUAGAAAAUGCCAGUAGUUCAAAUCAGGGGAAAUCUGAACACUAACUGGGGCCCUGUGAUAUUAAGGGGUUAUUUCUACUAUGCUUUAUUUGCUCUUCUGGUUGAGAGAUGGUCUACAUUCCAUUGAAUGGAGGCAGCUGUCAUGAUUGUUUUCUCCCAAGAAUGACCUGCAGAACGGGAUGGCCAGCUUCUAUGUGUCUCUAAGCCCUUGCUUUGGAGACAGCCCUGCCUGGAACCCAACAGCCUUACUGGGAAAAGCCAAGCCGUGGAGUGACCAGAGCCAGGCACUCCACCGGAAUGUCCAGCUGGGUCCCAGGAGACCCAGCCUACCCUGCAUCUCCAGAAGGCCGCAGCCCAGCUCAUUGCUGAUUAUAAUCAGCUCUGAGACCCCAGGCAAGCACAGCAGGGCUGAACCAUGAGAGGGAACUCGAAACUCUUGUUUUAGCCCCAUCAUUUGGAGGCAAUUCCUUAUGAGGCACAAAGCAAUCCGAAAAUUUAGUCUCACAGAGAUGCGUUCUUAAACAUUGACCAAAAAAUAUGAUAUCUGGGAUUUUCAAAUUAAUCCAGUUAAUAGUGAAAACAAGCUGGUCCGUGUGCUGCUAAUUGUUCAAACUAAGAACCUGGAUCAAAGAGAGUAAUUACACCUUUCCCCUCUGCUCUUGGAUAUUUUUGAACUGUUUGCUAAUGCAAAGUUCUUCGUAAGAGCUCCAGAUUUAGCAAGACAAGAUCUGAUGUUUACGGGGAACAGAAUGCUUGGAACUCGGAGGUGGCUCCCUAUGCCAAGCAAUCACACAUGUCACUGUUUACACAUGUGAUAUGACAGCAUCCUCUUUACUGUCCAGGCACAGGAUGUCAACCUCUAGAAAGCAGCACGUAGAGGUGCAGGAAUCUGGAGUCCAGAGUGGAAUCAAAUCCCAGCUCUGCCUUCAUCAAGCUGGGCAUCUUCGCAUCCAUUCUCACUGGGUUCUGAGCAUGAAAAGGACAUUUUUCCUGAUGAAGUGACCCAGGUCUUAAAGACAUAAAUGGUCAGCCUACGUGAUGAGGUUCUACAAAAGCAGAGAUGUAACUGUUGCAAGCUAUAAUGCAAAAGAAAUCAGUGAUUCUCGAGGUAUUGCCAGUAUUCUAUCACUGGAGAUCAUAUGCCUAGCCAUGGGAAAAAGUCAAAUUUCUGUUCUGAAAAGCACGUCACACUGAGGGGCAGGACAGCUUCUGUUUCAUUUGGGAGAACGCAUUUGGGACCCACCAGCUGAGUCCAUCUGGGGACGGGCGCAUCUUGGAGUAUGGUGAGCGCAUUGCACAAGGCGUCCAAAGUGAAGUUUUAUGAGACAGCUCGUGACUAGAAGUCCAGAGAAAAAGUGCCACAUUUGGACCAGAGAGCCAUGCGUGCUGCUAACGAGAGGCCAGCAAGCUGCUUCCUGACACAGGCAAUGCCACACAGGCAUUUGCAGAUGGAGCAACUCGGAAAUGUGUCUACUUUGGAAUAAUUGAUUAUUCUCCCAAACAACACCAAGGAGGCUAGCAGGUCAUUAACUGCACUAAUAAAUUAAAUUAAUCUACUAAUACAUGUGCUGCUAUAUCAAGAACUGUAAUUCUAUGUACAUCUCUCUUUAUGGAGUAAGUUUGUGGGGGGAAUAUCUGAACUGAAGUAAAUUCUUUCAUUAACUUGC